rnacentral:rRNA from 1 species
UACGGUAGGGUGCAAGCGUUGUCCGGAAUUAUUGGGCGUAAAGAGCUCGUAGGCGGUUUGUUGCGUCGGCUGUGAAAUCCCGAAGGCUCAACCUCGGGUCUGCAGUCGAUACGAGCAAACUAGAGUGUUGCAGGGGAGACUGGAAUUCCGUGGUGAUAGCGGUGAAAUGCGCAGAUAGUCAGGAGGAACACCGGUGGCGAAGGCGGGUCUCUGGGCAACAACUGACGCUGGAGGAAGCGAAAGCGUGGGGAGCGAACAGG